rnacentral:rRNA from 1 species
CACGUAGGGUGCGAGCGUUGUCCGGAAUUAUUGGGCAUAAAGAGCUCGUAGGCGGUGUGUCGCGUCGGCCGUGAAAACCUGCAGCUUAACUGUGGGCUUGCGGUCGAUACGGGCAUCACUGGAGUUCGGCAGGGGAGACUGGAAUUCCUGGUGUAGCGGUGAAAUGCGCAGAUAUCAGGAGGAACACCGGUGGCGAAGGCGGGUCUCUGGGCCGAUACUGACGCUGAGGAGCGAAAGCGUGGGGAGCGAACAGG